AAUUGUUCUAACAGAAGAAUAGCUGUCUCUAAAACGGAUUUUUCUAGAUUAAGUGCUUCUUUCCUCGUGGGAAAGGAAGCAGUAUCAUUCAUGAGUAAAUUUUUAAGAAAUAGUCAGAUCGAUCCAUUGGACUCAGCUGAAUGAAGAUGAAAGGAUACACAAUCACUGAAGCUCAAGUAGGGUAAUACAAAAAAUCUGCAAGUAUAAAGUUCAUAAUUCAUUGGACUCAGCCAAUUGAACUUUAAAUUGGUAGUUGUUGAGAGCCAAGAAACUUUGUUCUCCUUCUCUCCUGCUAAUUUUUGUUUUAGUUUCUUUUACUGGAUUUUUCUUUUCUUUUGUUUUAGGUUAUGCGUAGUCGUUUCGUGUAUCAUGACAGAAAAAUGACUUUUCCAUAGUGUUGCAAUCAAAGUGGGUACUUUGACAGCAACUCUUUAUUUUGUCACAAAUUUCGACUUUAGUAUUUGAUCGAAUUCGUAAUUGUUUAAAUUUUAGUGUGGUGGAUGCCAAAACAAAACCCACAUCCAC
rnacentral:lncRNA from 1 species